rnacentral:rRNA from 1 species
CUGACACAGGGAGGUAGUGACAAGAAAUAAAAAGCAAGUCUCUCAGAGGCGCUGCGUUGGAAUGAGUAGAAUUUAAAUCUCUUUACGACCAUCAAUUGGAGGGCAAGUCUGGUGCCAGCAGCCGCGGUAAUUCCAGCUCCAAUAGCGUAUAUUAAAGUUGUUGCGGUUAAAAAGCUCGUAGUUGGAUUUCUGUCUAGGGUGGCCGGUACCCACUAUGUGAAGUAUCUGGUUCAGUCUGGGCAUCCUCUUGGGGAUCGUUCCUGUGCUUGAUUGCAUGGGGCGGAAUUCAAGACUUUUACUUUGAGGAAAUUAGAGUGUUCACGGCAAGCUUUCGCUUUGAAUACAUUAGCAUGGAAUAAUGAUAUAGGGCAUAAGUUCUAUUUUGUUGGUUUCUAGAACAUAUGCAAUGAUUAAUAGGGAUAAUUGGGGGCACUCGUAUUAACGCGUCAGAGGUGGAAUUCUUAGAUUGCGUUACGACGAACUACUGCGAAAGCAUUUGCCAAGGAUGUUUUCAUUGAUCAAGAACGAAAGUAUGGGGAUCGAAGACGAUUAGAUACCGUCGUAGUCUAUACCAUAAACUAUGCCAACUAGAGAUUGGAGGUCGUUUUUUUUAUGACUCCUUCAGCACCUUAUGAGAAAUCAAAGUUUUUGGGUUCCGGGGGGAGUAUGGUCGCAAGGCUGGAACUUAAAGGAAUUGACGGAAGGGCACCACCAGGAGUGGAGCCUGCGGCUUAAUUUG